rnacentral:lncRNA from 10 species
GUUUGUGCUGGGAGCUGGUGGCGCGGUGCAGGGCUCUUAAGAACGAACGGCUUGGGCGCGGACUGGUAUCCGGGGACUGUGACUUGCAGGGUCCGCCAUGGAGCCAGAGCAGAUGCUGGAGGGACAAACGCAGGUUGCAGAAAAUCCUCACUCUGAGUACGGUCUCACAGACAACGUUGAGGCACGGUGGCUCACGCCUGUAAUCCCAGCACUUUGGGAGGCUGAGGCGGGCGGAUCACGAGGUC